rnacentral:sRNA from 1 species
UAUAUGAUGAUUGGACCUCAGCAUAAUU